rnacentral:rRNA from 1 species
GCUCAGUAACACGUCGAUAAUCUACCCUCGGGUCUGGGAUAACCUUGGGAAACUGAGGAUAAGACCGGAUAAAGAAUUCCAACUGGAAGGUGGAUUUCUUCAAAAGUAAUGCCCAAGGAUGGGUCGGCGGCGGAUUAGGUUGUUGGCGAGGUAAUGGCUCACCAAGCCGAAGAUCCGUAGGGGCCUUGAAAGAGGUAGCCCCGAGAAGGGCACUGAGAUACUGGCCCUAGCUCCACGGAGUGCAGCAGGCGCGAAAACUUUACAAUGCGCGAAAGCGUGAUAAGGGAACCCUAAGUGAUUUUGCAUUGCAAGAUCUUUUGCCAAGAGCAAAUAUCUUGGAGAAUAAGUGGUGGGCAAUACCCGUGCCAGCCGCCGCGGUAACCCAGGAGCCACAAGUGGCAACCACCUUUAUUAGGCCUAAAGCGUCCGUAGCCGGUUUUGUAAAUUUUCUGUGAAAUCGUUGCGCUAGACGUAACGGCGUGCAGGAAACACUGCAAGACUUGGGACCGGGAGGGGUCAGGAGUAUUUGAGGGGGAGCGGUAAAAUGCUAUAAUCCUUCAAGGACUACCUGUGGCGAAGGCGCCCGACCAGAACGGAUCCGACGGUGAGGGACGAAAGCUAGGGGAGCAAUCCGGAUUAGAUACCCGAGUAGUCCUAGCCGUAAACGCUGCGAGCUAGGUGUUACACAAUCUUCGGGAUUGUGUGGUGUCGUAGUGAAGACGAUAAGCUCGCCGCCUGGGGAGUACGGUCGCAAGGCUGAAACUCAAAGGAAUUGG